AUUCAGCAUUAAAUUCUUACAGUUUGACUAUUUUGACUUACUGGUUGAAUUUCAAAUUUAAGGCCAAAGUAACCGCAUUAGAAGCAUUGCUUUUUUAAAGAAUGUUUCCAGUUCGGCUAUUUUUACCUCAAAUUUUGAAUUUACUUUCUUUCAGUGAUGGCUGUAGGGAAUUCGCUUUGUCUAUGGAUCCCCCAAAAACCUCAAUGCUGUACUUUUGUGCAUGCACUAGAGAACAGCGGUGACGUCGGCUCCUGGUGCUGAAGGGAAGCAGACUGAGAAAGAUG